rnacentral:rRNA from 1 species
AAACCAGCACCUCAAGUGGUCAGGAUGAUUAUUGGGCCUAAAGCAUCCGUAGCCUGCUCUGUAAGUUUUCGGUUAAAUCUGUACGCUCAACGUACAGGCUGCCGGGAAUACUGCAGAGCUAGGGAGUGGGAGAGAUAGACGGUACUCGGGAGGAAGUGGUAAAAUGCUUUGAUCUCUCGAUGACCACCUGUGGCGAAGGCGGUCUAUCAGAACACGUCCGACGGUGAGGGAUGAAAGCUGGGGGAGCAAACCGGAUUAGAUACCCGGGUAGUCC